rnacentral:rRNA from 1 species
GAACGGGUGAGUAACACGUGAGUAACCUGCCCUUAACUCUGGGAUAAGCCUGGGAAACUGGGUCUAAUACCGGAUAGGAGCGUCCACCGCAUGGUGGGUGUUGGAAAGAUUUAUCGGUUUUGGAUGGACUCGCGGCCUAUCAGCUUGUUGGUGAGGUAAUGGCUCACCAAGGCGACGACGGGUAGCCGGCCUGAGAGGGUGACCGGCCACACUGGGACUGAGACACGGCCCAGACUCCUACGGGAGGCAGCAGUGGGGAAUAUUGCACAAUGGGCGCAAGCCUGAUGCAGCGACGCCGCGUGAGGGAUGACGGCCUUCGGGUUGUAAACCUCUUUCAGUAGGGAAGAAGCGAAAGUGACGGUACCUGCAGAAGAAGCACCGGCUAACUACGUGCCAGCAGCCGCGGUAAUACGUAGGGUGCGAGCGUUAUCCGGAAUUAUUGGGCGUAAAGAGCUCGUAGGCGGUUUGUCGCGUCUGUCGUGAAAGUCCGGGGCUUAACCCCGGAUCUGCGGUGGGUACGGGCAGACUAGAGUGCAGUAGGGGAGACUGGAAUUCCUGGUGUAGCGGUGGAAUGCGCAGAUAUCAGGAGGAACACCGAUGGCGAAGGCAGGUCUCUGGGCUGUAACUGACGCUGAGGAGCGAAAGCAUGGGGAGCGAACAGGAUUAGAUACCCUGGUAGUCCAUGCCGUAAACGUUGGGCACUAGGUGUGGGGACCAUUCCACGGUUUCCGCGCCGCAGCUAACGCAUUAAGUGCCCCGCCUGGGGAGUACGGCCGCAAGGCUAAAACUCAAAGGAAUUG